UUGAAACUACAAGUGGAGAUCAUUACCGUUCCUGAAGUAAUUUUUUUUUUUUUUCAGGUCUUUUUUGUUCAGGAGGUCCUCAAGUGCUGUGGAAAAAUAGAAGAGUGUCAAUAACGGAUUUGAACAUGAGCUGCCAACAAGCUGGAUGAACUGUUUGUCUGUCACAUUCACUGAAUAUCCUGAAGUAUUCCUGACAAGAAAGUUGCUGAAUCACAUCACUGUGCAGAGUACAUUCCUCAAAUGGCCUUUCUCUAACGAUGGAAAAAAAAAUAAGUGAAAAAGAAAGCAGCACCAAACCUGCAUUAAAACUCA
rnacentral:lncRNA from 1 species